rnacentral:piRNA from 1 species
UGUGGACGACAUGUUAUUCUUUUCAAGGG